AGGCUUGAAGACCUGUAACUCUGCCCAUCACCCCUACGCACCCACAAGUGGACGUUGGAUUCAUGGCUUUCGGUAAACUCCCUAGCCGUAGCCCAGCCACUAGACGAACCUCAGACAUUACGUUUCGAUAGAAGAGAUUUUUGUUCAGUGUUAGGGCACAGCAGUCUGAUGAUGAAUUCCACUUCCUUCAAAGGUCUGGACCCGAGCCAGACUAUCACUUCAAACCCUGCCUUGGCUCAGGAGGAAAUGAACCUCAAAAAGAAGAGGAAACCCUGAGUAAAUCAAAAGGAGAAAACCAGCAUCAGCAUCAACCUACGUGAGGAGCAGGUGAUCAGGAAGAAAGUGAAGCAAGGGUAGUGGAAAGGAGAGGAGCCAGGAUGUUGGCCUUGGCCAGUGUCCCCCGGGGAACCCCGUCAGAACUUAGAAGCAUCUGUCAAAUCAAAUCCUAAAUGUGCCUGCCUGGUGUGCUUAGCCAAGGAGCUUGCUACGUGUGGUGUGUGAGCAUGUGCUUCUUAGACCCAGCAAACUGGAGUGAAUAUGCCCUGUGAGGUGGGGCGGUGGGGGGGGGGGGAGGUUCAUGUAACACAGAGGGUUUUAUAAAAUCAUUUGGUCCUUAUAGCCAACCAUACCCGUUGCUGCUGUGCAGUGUGCAGCCAAGGAAUAUCAUCUCUCUUUGCUCUGAAGCUACCUAGCACAGGUAAGGAUGAAAUUCGUGAUGAAGCCCCAGUGCCCAUAAGCUGAGCAGCUCCACACUUGGUCCCCGACGAGAAGAUGAGGCCUUGGCCACCCUCCUGCCUCUCACACUGGUGCCACCACACUCUUAUGCAGUCUUGAAUAUUAAAGCUGUUGGUUUUACCAACACUGAGCCUCUGAAUAGGGACUGGAAAGAAUCCUCAAGAGAAUGUUUGUAGCUGAUAACGAGAGAGAGUGUCUGGUUUUGCAGGAGGUGAAGUGUUCUUUUGUGUGUGAGCAGGAAGCAAGCAGAUUGCCCACUUCAAUAGCUUUUUAUACCCACCAGGCAUGUUGAAAUUGAUCUUCUCCAUCCCGAUUAUCUAGAAAACCGCUUUCGUUACUGGUUUAGUUAGAAGAGUGCCGGUAACCCAUCCUCCUUCAAAGGCAUUAUCUCUUUGGAGGGAGGGGAGCUGAGAGCCAUACCUUUAUUCCCCAUCAUUUUUGCUUUUUUUCUAAAUGUUAAAAUGUGAGCUAAAAUGAAAUCAUGAGCAAACCCUUGUCGUGUCUUGAAUUCUUUGUGAGGAGGCUAGCCCAGCUACCAAAAUAAAGAAGCAGGGGGAAAAAAAAUUGCCGACUAU
rnacentral:lncRNA from 1 species